GGAGCAGAAGGGUGGAGUAAGGAGCAGGUGGCUCCCAGCAGGGCUCAGGAAGUUGGAUUGGCAGCCUGCAGCAGGAAAAAGCCAGGAGCGAAGGCGGGGUGAUGAGUGCCUCCCUUCUUUCCCAGCCCCACAGUGAGGAGCAGAACCUCAGUGUCCCAUCCCAAAUCCCAGAGAGACAAAGUCCACAAGCUGCCUGCCAGAGGUAAGGAAAAUCUUUUUGUUGCUGCCUCUUCUGCAUGGUGUGAUAGAAGUCCUUUCCUUGAGCUGUUUUCUACUUGGGAUUGUAGUGCAGCAAGGAGAAUGGAGAGCUGAGGUGUUGUUCCAAUGAACAAAAAUAUCCUGGAAUUAAGUUUCUUUCAGAAAGGUGGAGAUGUGCAGAAGGGGCUGCAUGAAGUGAGAUGAAAUUUGGGGCAGCUUUUUAAAUUUAGGUCCAGGACCUUGAGAAGCAGUUCUACCUAGCUCAUUCUGAGACAGCAGAAGCUCAGACAGGCAGCACUCAGAAUUCCAAACUGAGGACCCGUGUUAUUUCGCAGACAAGAAAUACAGGACGUGGAAGCCCCAUGCAGGAGCUGCAGGGCCCAGGCUACUCCUCAGCUUCUGCCUCAGGGAAGCUGCAGCACUCAGUGCCUCGGUCCCAGCUGCUCUCUGCUGUCUGGCCACAUGCCCUGCACCUGCCCAGCUCUGCCCCCCAGAAGCCUACCAAGCUGGUCAUUUUGAAGGAAGAACCAUUGCAGGAUCUGAAGAGGAUUUCUUCAAGAAUUAACAAGCUCAGACAGUGAACUUCCCUCUGUGGAUCUCAGCAGCCAUGGUGGGAGAAAAUCCCUUUUAACAACCAUGAGGAAUGCAGGGUGUCCUUCCUGCUCACAUCCUGCAGAUCCUGAUUCCCAGAGUGUUUCCCUGCUCCUGACAUCCCUUGUUUCUCAGCCCAUGGAAUUAGUGAGCCCACAUCAAAGAGGCUACAGAACAAGAUAGAGAGCCUGCAAAACCUGGUGGAAUCAUCUCAGAUAAAAAACCAAGCCACCUCUCCAAUGAUCAGAACUCAGGAGGUGAAGACAAAGAAAUGCAAGGAAAAGGAGAGAAAGCUGUCCAAGUGAAGGCCCUGUAUGCAUUAGUGAUUGCUUUCAUGUAGAUCCAUUGUGUUUAAGUUGGUUUUAAAUAUUAAUAAU